rnacentral:rRNA from 1 species
GACGAACGCUGGCGGCGUGCUUAACACAUGCAAGUCGAACGGUAAGGCCCUUCGGGGUACACGAGUGGCGAACGGGUGAGUAACACGUGGGUGAUCUGCCCUGCACUUCGGGAUAAGCCUGGGAAACUGGGUCUAAUACCGGAUAGGACCACUGCCUGCAUGGGUGGUGGUGGAGAGCUUUUGCGGUGUGGGAUGGGCCCGCGGCCUAUCAGCUUGUUGGUGGGGUGAUGGGCUACCAAGGCGCCGACGGGUAGCCGGCCUGAGCGGGUGAGCGGCCACACUGGGACUGAGAUACGGCCCAGACUCCUACGGGAGGCAGGAGUGGGGAAUAGUGCACAAUGGGCGCAAGCCUGAUGCAGCGACACCGCGUGAGGGAUGACGGCCUUCGGGUUGUAAACCUCAUUCAGCACCGACGAAGCGCAAGUGACGGUAGGUGCAGAAGAAGGACCGGCCAACUACGUGCCAGCCGCCGCGGUAA